rnacentral:ncRNA from 1 species
GAGAGCCGGAUACGUCGAAAGGUGUAAGUCCGGUUCGGGGGCGAGUACUUGGAAACCUAGCAUAGAAAUAUGUAAAGGCGCUGGGUACUUAGCCUAC